rnacentral:rRNA from 1 species
UAAUGCAGUCGAGCGAACGGAUAAGGAGCUUGCUCCUUUGAAGUUAGCGGCGGACGGGUGAGUAACACGUGGGUAACCUACCUAUAAGACUGGGAUAACUUCGGGAAACCGGAGCUAAUACCGGAUAACAUUUAGAACCGCAUGGUUCUAAAGUGAAAGAUGGUUUUGCUAUCACUUAUAGAUGGACCCGCGCCGUAUUAGCUAGUUGGUAAGGUAACGGCUUACCAAGGCGACGAUACGUAGCCGACCUGAGAGGGUGAUCGGCCACACUGGAACUGAGACACGGUCCAGACUCCUACGGGAGGCAGCAGUAGGGAAUCUUCCGCAAUGGGCGAAAGCCUGACGGAGCAACGCCGCGUGAGUGAUGAAGGGUUUCGGCUCGUAAAACUCUGUUAUUAGGGAAGAACAAAUGUGUAAGUAACUGUGCACAUCUUGACGGUACCUAAUCAGAAAGCCACGGCUAACUACGUGCCAGCAGCCGCGGUAAUACGUAGGUGGCAAGCGUUAUCCGGAAUUAUUGGGCGUAAAGCGCGCGUAGGCGGUUUCUUAAGUCUGAUGUGAAAGCCCACGGCUCAACCGUGGAGGGUCAUUGGAAACUGGGAAACUUGAGUGCAGAAGAGGAAAGUGGAAUUCCAUGUGUAGCGGUGAAAUGCGCAGAGAUAUGGAGGAACACCAGUGGCGAAGGCGACUUUCUGGUCUGUAACUGACGCUGAUGUGCGAAAGCGUGGGGAUCAAACAGGAUUAGAUACCCUGGUAGUCCACGCCGUAACGAUGAGUGCUAAGUGUUA